ACCUCAACUCUGAAAUGAAAUGGGGGGCUUCUUCUUCUUGUUCAUAGAUCAUUUUCAGUAAAGGGUCUCUCACACUGUCGUAAAAAAAUGAAGGACAAAGCGUCGAGGUGGCUGCUGUAUGCAUCGUAUAUGCUCCCGCCGUGUCUUGCCUUCGCUUCCUUCCGACAAUGGAGACUGGUUGCUCAACUCCAAAGGUUGAAACUUGCUGAGGAAAAUUUAAACAGGGUGAUGGAGAAGGUGAGACGUGAGGUGCUCUCAGAUAAGUGAAGCCCCAUCCUCAUCUCUGGGUGAUGAAUAUUACAGAGCCACCGACCUAAAGAUUAGUAGUAUAGGCUUAUGUAGUUAAGCAUGAAGCUGUGUUUUGUAGUAAUGUAGUUAUGAACUUCUAUGUGAACUAUGGAGUUAAGGUGAAGACUUGCAGAUUUGGUGUAGAGUAACUGGAUGCAGAGCCCACUUGACCUAAUCUUUCAUUUAACUAGAUGACUCUAUUAUAAGUCGAAUUCAUGAACUACUAUCUCAAAGUUAUGAGGAUGGCAUGGUUUUUAAUUUUUUUUUUUUUUUUUUUGGCAAGUGCCUAUGUACAAAAUGACC